rnacentral:rRNA from 1 species
GAUGAACGCUGGCGGCGUGCCUAAUACAUGCAAGUCGAGCGAACGGACGAGAAGCUUGCUUCUCUGAUGUUAGCGGCGGACGGGUGAGUAACACGUGGAUAACCUACCUAUAAGACUGGGAUAACUUCGGGAAACCGGAGCUAAUACCGGAUAAUAUUUUGAACCGCAUGGUUCAAAAGUGAAAGACGGUCUUGCUGUCACUUAUAGAUGGAUCCGCGCUGCAUUAGCUAGUUGGUAAGGUAACGGCUUACCAAGGCAACGAUGCAUAGCCGACCUGAGAGGGUGAUCGGCCACACUGGAACUGAGACACGGUCCAGACUCCUACGGGAGGCAGCAGUAGGGAAUCUUCCGCAAUGGGCGAAAGCCUGACGGAGCAACGCCGCGUGAGUGAUGAAGGUCUUCGGAUCGUAAAACUCUGUUAUUAGGGAAGAACAUAUGUGUAAGUAACUGUGCACAUCUUGACGGUACCUAAUCAGAAAGCCACGGCUAACUACGUGCCAGCAGCCGCGGUAAUACGUAGGUGGCAAGCGUUAUCCGGAAUUAUUGGGCGUAAAGCGCGCGUAGGCGGUUUUUUAAGUCUGAUGUGAAAGCCCACGGCUCAACCGUGGAGGGUCAUUGGAAACUGGAAAACUUGAGUGCAGAAGAGGAAAGUGGAAUUCCAUGUGUAGCGGUGAAAUGCGCAGAGAUAUGGAGGAACACCAGUGGCGAAGGCGACUUUCUGGUCUGUAACUGACGCUGAUGUGCGAAAGCGUGGGGAUCAAACAGGAUUAGAUACCCUGGUAGUCCACGCCGUAAACGAUGAGUGCUAAGUGUUAGGGGGUUUCCGCCCCUUAGUGCUGCAGCUAACGCAUUAAGCACUCCGCCUGGGGAGUACGACCGCAAGGUUGAAACUCAAAGGAAUUGACGGGGACCCGCACAAGCGGUGGAGCAUGUGGUUUAAUUCGAAGCAACGCGAAGAACCUUACCAAAUCUUGACAUCCUUUGACAACUCUAGAGAUAGAGCCUUCCCCUUCGGGGGGGCAAAGUGACAGGUGGUGCAUGGUUGUCGUCAGCUCGUGUCGUGAGAUGUUGGGUUAAGUCCCGCAAUGAGCGCAACCCUUAAGCUUAGUUGCCAUCAUUAAGUUGGGCACUCUAAGUUGACUGCCGGUGACAAACCGGAGGAAGGUGGGGAUGACGUCAAAUCAUCAUGCCCCUUAUGAUUUGGGCUACACACGUGCUACAAUGGACAAUACAAAGGGCAGCGAAACCGCGAGGUCAAGCAAAUCCCAUAAAGUUGUUCUCAGUUCGGAUUGUAGUCUGCAACUCGACUACAUGAAGCUGGAAUCGCUAGUAAUCGUAGAUCAGCAUGCUACGGUGAAUACGUUCCCGGGUCU